rnacentral:rRNA from 1 species
AUGCUACUGCAGAGAUUAUCUGGGUGCGGUCUGUGCUUCAGGAGUUGGGUUUGUCUCAACCGCAGCCUCCUAUCCUUUGGUGUGAUAACAUCGGUGCUACAUAUCUUUCUGCAAAUCCGGUAUUUCAUGCCCGAACGAAACACAUUGAAGUUGACUAUCACUUUGUACGGGAACGUGUGUCGCAGAAGCAACUCCAGAUCAAGUUCAUCUCUUCUAAGGAUCAACUUGCAGACAUCUUCACUAAGCCUUUACCUCUACCACAGUUUGAGGCUUGUAGGCGCAAUCUUACCCUUCUCGGUUCUUUAG